rnacentral:rRNA from 1 species
UACGAAGGGGGCUAGCGUUGCUCGGAAUUACUGGGCGUAAAGGGCGCGUAGGCGGCCUUCUAAGUCGGACGUGAAAUCCCUCGGCUCAACCGGGGAACUGCGUCCGAUACUGGAGGGCUUGAAUCCGGGAGAGGGAUGUGGAAUUCCAGGUGUAGCGGUGAAAUGCGUAGAUAUCUGGAGGAACACCGGUGGCGAAGGCGGCAUCCUGGACCGGCAUUGACGCUGAGGCGCGAAAGCCAGGGGAGCAAACGGG